UAUACUUUUUAUAUCCACUGUAUAUGCAACAACACUGCACAUUACUUUGCCCCAAAAUAUUGGAAAUGCCUGGUUUAGUGUAAUUGCAACAUUGAGUGUUAAUAAUGCAUUUGUUUUGGGGUGGUUGGGGAUAGUGUUCCAGCAACACAAACAAAAAACAGGCCAUAUGACAAUUUGCUCAUGCACUAGUUGUUGUUCCAGUGGCAAAACCACUCAAGAACUGCAGGUCUAGAGCUCAUCCCUAAAUCAGAUAAACAGCAGUUGGGCUAUUAUUUUCAGAUGGUCAUGAUCUGGCCCAAAAGGGAAAGUCAAACAUUUCAAGGACUGCUGGUAAACAAAUGGGACCGUGUCGGUCAUCCUGUCAAGCUUAAUAGUCUUAUUCAUGCGGUCAUCCACAAGGUGGUGCACUUUCUCAAUGAAUGUAGGUGUUGGGAAAGGCAUUCCCCGUUUCUCUGUAUAAUUAAUGGUGUGACCUCUCGUGGAAGUUCAUUACAUUUAAUUGAAAAUCCUGUGAAGACAGUCUACUAACAGUCAUUUAAUUGAGAAUCCUAUGAAGACAGUCUACUAACAGUCAUUUAAUUGAAAAUCCUGUAAAGACAGUCAACUAACAGUCAUUUAAUUGAAAAUCCUAUGAAGACAGUCAACUAACAGUCAUUCUGAGAAGGUCUUAUGUGGCCUUUCACUUCAUUGCAUUGCCAAAGGGGCACAGUACCCUAGUGUCCUUGAGAAUAAAUUGAUUUGAUUGAACAGUGUAAUUCCGAGUUUUCACGGCCUGGUGGUUUGGUGUGGGGAUCUGGUUUAUACUCAGUGGGCAUUGGGGAGUUAGGGUUAACUGCCAAGGAUGCUGCAGCUGUACAGCUUGUAAUUGUGACCAGUAACUGUGACCAUCCUUCUCACUUUCCCACACUGUACGUCUGAUUUCCAUCAUCUUUCACACUGGCUUUCUCUUUCCAUCAGUCCCUCCCUCCUUUACCCUUUUUUCUAAAUAAGAUGACAGCCCGAGCUGAAUGAAGUGACCUUCCAGAAUAUCGUUUCCCCCUCCCACUUUGAGGGAGAGCGGGAGAGAGAGGGUUGGUUCAUAUUUUCAUUGAGGCAAUAUAAUCUCCGUCUGCAAUGUCAGAAGACAAAGAUUGAGGUUUCUUCUGCUGUCUGUUCCACCGCUAUGUUGACAUAGUGAGCUUUCCCUCGCCAGGUUUAAAAAAAGAAUUCAUGCCAACACAGGAAGGAGAUGAGGGAAGUGAAGUGCGUCAUCUUUCUUUCCUCCUUCUGCUGCUAAAAAUAACCCAGCCCUGCAACUGAUUGUGCCUGUGUUUCCGUGGCAACCAUGGACCUUUC